rnacentral:rRNA from 1 species
AUUGAACGCUGGCGGCAGGCCCAACACAUGCAAGUCGAGCGGAUGAGGGAAGCUUGCUUCCUGAUUUAGCGGCGGACGGGUGAGUAAUGCCUAGGAAUCUGCCUGUUAGUGGGGGAUAACGUUCCGAAAGGAACGCUAAUACCGCAUACGUCCUACGAGAGAAAGUGGGGGAUCUUCGGACCUCACGCUAACAGCUGAGCCUAGGUCGGAUUAGCUAGUAGGUGAGGUAAUGGCUCACCUAGGCUACGAUCUGUAACUGGUCUGAGAGGAUGAUCAGUCACACUGGAACUGAGACACGGUCCAGACUCCUACGGGAGGCAGCAGUGGGGAAUAUUGGACAAUGGGCGGAAGCCUGAUCCAGCCAUGCCGCGUGUGUGAAGAAGGCCUUUUGGUUGUAAAGCACUUUAAGCGAGGAGGAGGCUACUAGUACUAAUACUACUGGAUAGUGGACGUUACUCGCAGAAUAAGCACCGGCUAACUCCGUGCCAGCCGCCGCCGUAA